rnacentral:lncRNA from 1 species
CCCUGCCCCUGCUGUUCCUGUAGCGGGGACUGGGGCUGGGUGAGGGGCGGUUCCAGGGCGGGGACUGCGAAGUUGGGCGGGUACGAGUCAGUACCCCUCCCCCUUCCCAGCGCGUCUCAGAAAGUGCGCGACCGGGGAAGGAUGCGGGGUGCUUACCCGGGAGGCGGGUGGCUUCCCGCGCAGCGCGAGCGGCUACGGCUCGCGAGCCGCCUCCGCCCAACUUUCUCCCUCGGCUUUCCUAGUUUAUUUUCUUUCAGGCGCCCUAAUGGGCGGUUUUGACUUCUUGGUGGCACUGCGUAAUAAGCCAGUGUCACCCCUCUGACUCCCGUCCCCGCACGCGUGAUCUUGUUAAGGAAUUAGUCCUUUUGCGCGGAGUUCGGUUGAAUGAGAAGAAUAGGUUGGCAGCACAGACUUGUGAGAGGAAGUAGAUGAAAAAGAGUCUUUGGCACUUGUUUAGCCGGAAUCUGAGAAUAAUUUUGGAAAGUAUUCUCUGGAACAAGGGGGUGGGCAGAAGCUGGCUCCUGUAAAAGGACUCCCUACAGGAAAACGGAGACCUGUAAUGUAGAACGACCGCCUCGCCUUACGGAUGGGAAGCUGAGGACAGUCGUCGCUGUAAAACUUUGACAGGUGCCCAAUAUGAGAUGAAAAGAACAAGGGAAACGGGCCUAAGUCGUGUGAUAAGGGGCUCCAGGAAAGAAGCACCCCUCUGAAACUGGCCAGUAAGUCGUGUGAGACAGUGAUGGAGAAGACAGUAUGAGAAACAUGAAAGUUUUCGUUGUCUAAAAGAUCUGACAAUCUGGAUCCUCAAUGUGUAUGAAGCAUCAAAGUCAGAAGCAGCAGGCAAAUUCCAUUCCAGCCUUGACAAGGCAAGAGGAGAGGCAAUAUGCACACGAGGUGGUGGAACUUUCCUGGACCCUCCCAGGAAGGAAGGUGAGAGGGAGC